rnacentral:lncRNA from 1 species
CGAAACUGAAAUUUUGGCGCCGCAGUAGCUCUGAAUUAUUCUAAUAAAAUAUAUAAUAAAAACAGUGAAUUGUAUGGUUAGCAGCGUUGCACCGGACUGGUUCUCCUGAAUGGACUUUGGUACCGGCAGCGGAUAUUCUCCGGUACACAGAACAGUUUGUCUCCGGGAAACUGAAGCCUCUACAGGCGAAGCUUCGACACAGAGACACUGUGGGACCAACCGACCAGAGACGGUGUGACUUUAGGGACAAACACAGCAAGAACAUCUACAGACCGUCUGUAGAUAAAGCUUAGUCACAAUGAACAGGAGCAAAGUGAGGAAACCCAUGGUUUCCAGAGGCAUAUCUGUGGGACAGAAGAACAUCUCAUCAUUCUUCUCCCAAAACUCAAAGGAUCUGCCUCUGCCGUCUUUCAAAAACGUGGUCCCUGGCUUUGAUCCUCAGAUUAAAGAUGCUAAAAGCUCUGCAUUCAGACCCACCUCCCCGAUGAAAAAGGGAACCAAUUUGGACUCUGAAAACCUUUGCCCGCCCUCACCAGACCUUCACUUUGUGCCUGAAACUCCCAAUAGUCAAGUCCGGUUACGCCAAUCCCCCCGUACAGAUGGUGGUCUACAGAGCAUGGUGGAGCUGUCUCCUGUACGUCGCAGUCCUCGCAAAAAAGAUCUAAAAGUCAUGAUGGAGGAGGAAAGAGCCAAUAGGCAGAAGGGAUUCAUUGGGUCCUUGAAAAGGCUCCUUAGCCCUCCUGAAGAGUCACGCAAUACAAAGAGAUCGAACGCCGUCUCUUUAUUUUCACCCAACGGGCUUAUCAGAACAGAGAACAACCUGAAUGUAGACAGAGCUGGAACCUGUACAGAGCAUAAUACCAGCAAACAUCAAAGCCAGGCUAAUGCAGAGCUCUGUCAUGAAAGCAGAAGCGCCAUCAUGCCAGAGAGGUCAGUCUGUCACCAGUUUGUGGAGGAAUCCCACAACCAUCAGGAUGUAGAUGAUAGCCCUGGAUUCACUGUGAUCACCAAUCAGAAAACACCUGAGAUCAAAACCAGGGGCAUCCAACACGCUAAUCUGUAUGAAGACAAUGUUACAGCACGUGUGCAUGAAGUUAGUGAUGCACCUGUCCCAGCUGCACUGCACAGAGGUACUGACCCAGUGGAAAAUGCUACAACACCAGUGACGGUUAAAGAGGAAGACAGAGGAUCAUCAGAGGAGCAGAGAGCUGGAGGGAACUCAGAAACCGUGUGUGAGGACCAGUUGGAUGAAAGCUGGUUUACUGAUCAGUGGGAUCUUAAUGAGGGUCCCCAGCCAGAGAAGAUUCCCAGAAAACCCUGGUGAGGGUCACAUUUUCACGAAUGAAUGAUUAAACGCACCACAGACUACUGAUGAUGAUUUAAUUUGUGAUUCACUCAGUGAAGUUAAGGGUUUAAAAA